CAGUGCGACUGAUUACGAUUGUUUGCGCGCGCGUGUCCGUCUGUGUGUCUCUGUGUGUGUGUGUGAGUGAGUGAGUGAGUGAGUGAGUGCGUGCGUGCGUGCGUGUGUUUUUUAUGAGCAGCGAAUCCGUCCCGAGUUUCCAAGCUAAAGUUGCAUGGAGACACGCCGCGUAAGACGCGUAUAAUAAAGAGGAUGGUGAGCAACAUAAAGCAACGAGGAGAGCGAGAGCAACUUGUGCUGAGAAAGCGAACCGUUAAGAAAUAUUUAGCCCACAAGAGAGAGGGGCACUGAAGCAGUUCGUUUGAAAAAAAAAUCACUGCAGCGAUGCAUCGGAGGCGAGUCAGAUGGAGUUGGAGAGGCAAAAUUAAUGUACAUUACAUGCACUCCACGUAACGCUCCUGAGCGAUGUCUUUUCAGGGCUUCCUGUACUGGGCAGGACAGAACUUGAGGCAUCCAUCGUGUCAAGUACGGAGGGUGAAAUGAACAGCUCGACUCACAGUAUGAUCCCUGACGGUGUUGCUUGUGACGUCACCGGCGUCAAAAUCUGCUGAUGACUGGAGGUCUAUGCAAAAGUGAGAUGUGAAGUGAACUGACUGUGCUCCUCAUGGAAGGAGAGGGAAGGCUGACAGGCAUGGAAGUUGAUGGGGGAAAAAGGAGGGGUUUACCAAUAAACAAGGAUAACAAUCUGGGAAAACGUUACCUUGUAUCCUGCACACAAGAUCAACAUCAAACCAACGUCUGUUAGACUGCUUUACACCUGUAAAUGGAUAUUCAGCAAGUUGAUUACUUUGUAGGAACAACAUAACAUCGUCAGGUAUUUGCAAUAUCUGUCUGUAAACUACUUGGGUUUAAUAAAUGACCUGGACUUGCUUACGUUGUCACGUGCACAGACGUCUGAGACGCAUGAGCUGUGAGACGUAAGGAAAUAUGAAAAUGAUAUAGUACGUAUCUGAGCUUUACAUUUUUUUUACUUGCACAUAAACCCAUGUAUAGAUACAUUUGUUGUGAUUAUUAACCUAAAUGAGUGAAACUGUAUAAACAAGAUGCACGUGAACGCUUGUGUCGAGUUGUGUUGCUUUAAUUCUCAAAGACGUGAAGGCAAACACAGACUGAUUUAAUCUUAUUUGUUCUAAUUAAAUUAUAGCCUAUAUGUAGCUUCAAAUGGAAUUGUUGUGAUUGUGAUAAUAAGAACGUGUGCGUAACGCGAGCGUCUGUAGACUUGUGUGAAAAUUACAGGCGCGAGUUUUUUUUAGCUUGUGGUGCUUUAUAAUUGUUAGGGUUACAUAUUUGUGAGAUCUUAAUAGUUUGUUUAACAUGUUGUAUGAAGCUACAGACGGAGAGUUGGAGCACGCUCUGCUGCUGCUAACGGAUCACUCCCACGGCCCAAAUGAGCUUAGGACUCAAAUAAUGCUGUUUUUAUUAUUAGUUCUUUCGCUAGAUAUGUUUAUUAUAUCGUAUAUAUGUAAUAAGGUUUCGUAACUAGUGUUGAGGGAGCAUUUUGACCACAGUAAAUGUGAAAUGUGACUUGUUGGAAUUAUUAAGGGUCAAAGGGGCUGGGUCCUGCAGAAAGGGGGAAAAUAAAUAUGUUUAAAUUAAAGAAUAAAGAUUAUAGGCAUAUAGGAGUUAUUCUUAAAUGUAUGUGGUAGAUCAGUGAGUGUCGAGGACUGAAAGCUGGAAUAUAUAAUUUGUUAAGUGAGAGGAAAUGUGUGUGUGUGUGUGUGUGUGUGACAGAGUGUGUGUGAGAGAGAGAGAGAGAGUGUGUGUCUGAUGUCGAAAUUGUAUGUUUUAAGGUUCGUCUAAGCAAAAGUUAAAGUAAAAUAUCUAGAUUUUGCAUCAGUUAUUAUUUGUAGUAUAAUAAUUAGCCUACAAAAAAUAACACUGUUAAUGCACUAUGUAUCGGAUUGCUUGUGCCUUACGUGCAUUUUUAUUGCUUCAUAAUUAUAGUAUUCUCUGCUUUGCUGUUAUUGUAUAUCAUACAACCCAAAAUGUGCUUAACAGUUUGAGCUGAAUUGAGUUAAACGAGUCAAGUGUGGUUGCUGCCGUGUGGACGACGUAAAAACGUAACGUGCGAGUUCUGCAUUUCUGAGUAUUUGAAUGUCAUUUCUGUAUAGUUAGGUUAGGCACAGAGAAAAAUAUGCUUCAUUAACGAUUCGACCCGGACUAAUUGUUUAGCUAUUUCAUUACAUGAAACAAGCUGUACAUGUGGUGUGAGAAAUAUAUGAUGUGAUUAUGUUGCAAAAGCUAAAAGCUGGAAGUUUAUCGUUCACGUGACAAAGUUAUGAAUCACGUAUUUUGUCAUCAGACUGCUUGCUUUCUGUAUUGUCUAUUCCAUG